CUUUCAAAAUACCCCCACUUCCUCAUUCUGACUUUCGGGAAAAAAGGGCUGAAGUGGGACUUCGGCAAAAUUCCCUGACGUGGCCAAAGUCCACUUCUGCCAAAUGAAUCACGUGGGGGUGUUAUGAGCACCCCCACUUCCGUGAUUUGGAAAACCCGUGACCCCUCUCCAUCUUCUUCCCAAAACACUAGGGUUUGCACCCAUCUCCUUGUUCUCCAUCCUUCAGAUCAUCUCCAUCUACUGGCUUCAUCUUCACUAGCAAGGGUUUAAACUCAUCUCCUUGUGCGACAUCCGAUCAUCUCCAUCUACCGGUGCUUUAUCCUUCCGAUCAUAUUCAUCUCCACUGAUGGAUAGUUGGGCAUUAGGUGAGCGUGCUAGACCACUUGCCGCGGCAUUCACCACAAUUGUCGUCAUUAUUGCAUAUAUAAUUGAAGAAAUGCAUACAAGUAGGAGUCCUAGAUGUGUUGAGCCUUCAAUAUUCCGGGACCUAACUAGAAAAAAACACAUGAAUCGUAUUUUAAGAAGUGGUCGAGACUAUUGUGUAAGCUACCUAAGAAUGGAUGUAGGACCUUUCAUGCAUUUAUCCCAAAUAAUGCGUGACAGAUGUCUACUUGUUGAUACUCGCCAUGUGUCCAUUGAGGAGCAACUUGUAAUAUUCCUACACAUAGUUGGGCAUAACACGAAGAACAGAACAGCGAGGUUAGAAUUUCUUCGAUCAGGAGAAACUAUCAGCAGAUAUUUUAACAAUGUCAUUCGUGCUAUUUGCGCUAUACAUGAUGACUUUGUCCUACCUCCCAAUAGCAAUUGUCACUCGGACAUAGAGAAUAAUCCUAAUUGGUACCUGUUUUUUAAAGAUUGCAUUGGGUUGUUGAAUGGCACGCAUAUUGAAGCAUCCGUCCCUCCCCAUGAAAUACCCCAGUUUCGUGGUCGAAAGGGAAUUACUCAAAAUGUGUUGGCUGUGGUGAAUGCGGAUUUAAAGUUUACAUAUGUCCUAGCUGGAUGGAAGGGAUCUGCAAAUGAUUUCGCUGUCUUAAGGGAUGCAAUAUCUCGCCCUCAACCACAGGGGCUAAAGAUUAUAGAAGGAAAAUAUUAUCUCGUUGAUGCUGGAUACACCACUAUGAAUGGUUUCAUAGCUCCGUAUCGCGGAGUAAGAUACCAUCUUAAGGAACAUAAUGGAAGGCCACCAACAAACCCUAAAGAAUUGUUCAAUCUUAGGCAUUCAAUGCUACGAUCAUGGGUUGAACGAGCAUUUGGUAUCUUAAAGAAUCGUUUCAAGAUUCUUACCUAGCGGCCAUUUUUUCCAUUCAAAACACAAGUAAGGUUAGUCCUUGCAUGUUGUAUUAUUCAUAAUUAUAUAGCAGGUGUGGAUCUUCCUAUAUGCACGAGGGCAACACAUUAGAGGAAGAGCAACUUGUGCCCUCACAAAACAGGACCCAACGCGAACAAUGAGAAGAAAAUAGGCAAUGGGUGGAGUUAAGGGACAACAUAGCAAAUGAAAUGCGGAAUCACUAUACUGGCCGAUAAUUUAAUAUUUGAAGGAACAUGGAGGGCGGCACUUCGAAGGCUGCCACCAAACGUGGAACACCUAACAAGCAUUGGAAGCCUGAUUUUGAUAAUGUUUUAAUACCUGUUUUGGUAGAGCAAGUGAGACAGGGUCUUAAAUGUGACAAAUCAUUUAAGCGGGCUGCGUUCGGACAUGCUGCAAGUGCCGUGAAUGCAAGAUUUAACACUAAUUUCACCCCAGAGAAUGUGGAGAACCAUUAUCGGACGCUAAAAGUAAGGUACAUGGAAAUUAAGAAAGCGAGGGACUUGAGUGGGGCAGGUUGGGAUGACGAAAACAAGGUGAUCAUUCUCAACCCACUUGUGGCCUUCAAGUACACUGAGGCACACCCGGGUGCAAAACCAUUCAUCAACAAGCCCAUUGAGAACUAUGAAGGGCUUAGGAUAAUUUUUGGUGAAGAUAGUGCAACAGGUUCUUACGCUGCUUCUUUGUUUUCAGAUUUUGCAGACAAAUCUGAAAAUGAAGGAACCGACAAUGACAAUGGUGAACCAGACCCGAUUGAUAUUGCUAGUGAUGAGGAAGGUAAUAAUGGCAACUCUACACCCGUAGGUAGCAACCCUGCUCCAUCAUCAAGGGUUAGGUCCCAACGUAAUAGCAAGGGACCUAAAAGCCCUUCCAUGAUGGGCGAUGUACUUAAGGUUGUGGAUAAGAUGGCCAAUGCAAUUCAGAACCCAACCCAUUGGACUGAGAUUUUAUAUGAAAGAGUUAUGGGUGUUGAGGGUUCACCAAGCAUGAGCUUGUUGCGGUAUUUGAUUAUCUUCAGUCUAGGGAAACUGAAUCUAAGGGCUUCAUGGUGAGAGAUAUGGAACUGCGUCAAGAUUGGAUUAGGAGCUUUAUUUCCCGGAUGAUGUGAACCACGACAUGAAUGGUUUAGUGUUGCGGAGUUGUUCAGCUCCCAUGGGGAUUGUUUGAACUAUUGCUUGCAUUAUCUGCAUUUCAUGCAUUAUUUCAUGUUUUUUUUUUGUGCAUCCACGAACAUUAUGUGGGUUGUUUCCAUGUUUCAGGUUUGCCUAUGUUAUUUGUGUCAAUAGCAUGCAUGUUGCAUCUAAAAACUUUCAUCUUGUUUGCUUGUAUUUUGAACUAUCUGCACUUAUAUGAACUUAUUAGUGGUUGUUAUAUAUUAAUGGUUUCUCUAACCUACAUUUUUUUUUGUUGGCAUUGCAGGUGUAUUUUACAUGGCAAUGAUGACUACAUAAGAGUAAAGCAAUACACUUAGGCCAGGUUCCCUUUUUGCCUCUACAAAUAAACAGGUGUAGUGGCGGGGCAAUUGAGGGGUGAAGACCCUUCUCUUGCAGCCACAUGCCUUUGAAUUUCAUAGUGGUUUGAGUUUUGGUUUUAUCAGAUAGAUUCCAUCAUGAGAAAGGGUCUCUAUGACUUUUUUCUCUUAAAUUUUAUUUUGUCGUGGUCAUUUUGCUGAAACUAUUUUGCAUUUGUUUUUUGGUGAAAAAAUUUAGAUUUUUAAUUGUGGUUUAAAUGAAUUGGGAGUAGUUUUCAUUUGUGAUUUUAAUGUGGGAAAGGGGUUUUAGAUUUUUAGUUUUCUUGUUAUUCUUGUAAUUUGUUUGUAAGUUGCAUUGGAGAGCUGAAAUUUCAUUUCUUAAGCUAGAGAGCUUGGAUCUUUUCAGUGGUUUUACUAAAGUUUGGGAUAAUUGUAAAAGGUCUUUGAGUUUGGAUCUCAAGUUUGCAAAUGUUUUGUGUGUAUAUUUUAGAUUAAUUUUUAUCCAUUUGAAGAGUGUCUUAUUUUCAUUAUUAUUCAUACGUCAAUGUUUAUUUUCAAUGUUGUCUUCGAACUUUUGUUGUGUUACCUAUGUUUAUUGAGGUUUUGGUUUUUAACUGUAAGGGAUUACAGGCAUGAAAUGGUAUGUAUGGCAAGGCAACUUGGAGGCAUGCGUUGCCACAGUUGUAGCCUGCUUGAUCCAUUGUUUUUUUUUUCGUACAAUUAUUUUCAACUUUUCCCAUUGUGGGUUUAGUUUGCUACUCGUGUGUGUUGGUUUUGGAGGCAAAAAGGAUCUACCAAUGCCGAUGAAGUGAUGAUGUAUAUGUUUACUUUUUUAUGAGACCUGAGCCAUGACUGAAUAACAACUGGUGUUUGCUUGCGAGGUCGGACUACUCUGUGGAAGCAUGAAGUGCACAUGGAAUUCCUCUCCUUUGAUAAGAGUAUUGGUAGUUGUAUUUUAUUGUCCAAGUAAACAAUUUGUACUCUCUCAAACUUUGUUAAACAAUAUUACCAGUCAUGGUUCAGCGACUGUAGCAAAUAAAGCAUAUAUUUAUAUGA